GACGAACGCUGGCGGCGUGCUUAACACAUGCAAGUCGAGCGGUAAGGCCCCUUCGGGGUACGACGAGCGGCGAACGGGUGAGUAACACGUGGGUGACCUGCCCUCAGCUCUGGGAUAAGCCUGGGAAACGUGGGUCUAAUACCGGAUAUGACUCCAUGACGCAUGUCGUGGGGUGGAAAGCCUUGUGCGGCUGGGGAUGGGCCCGCGGCCUAUCAGCUUGUUGGUGGGGUGAGGCCUACCAAGGCGACGACGGGUAGCCGGCCUGAGAGGGCGACCGGCCACACUGGGACUGAGACACGGCCCAGACUCCUACGGGAGGCAGCAGUGGGGAAUAUUGGACAAUGGGGGAAACCCUGAUCCAGCAAUGCCGCGUGAGU
rnacentral:rRNA from 1 species